rnacentral:rRNA from 1 species
CGGACCGGCGCACGGGUGCGUAACGCGUAUGCAACCUACCUUUAACAGGGGGAUAACACUGAGAAAUUGGUACUAAUACCCCAUAAUAUCAUAGAAGGCAUCUUUUAUGGUUGAAGAUUCCGAUGGUUAGAGAUGGGCAUGCGUUGUAUUAGCUAGUUGGUGGGGUAACGGCUCACCAAGGCGACGAUACAUAGGGGGACUGAGAGGUUAACCCCCCACACUGGUACUGAGACACGGACCAG